rnacentral:rRNA from 1 species
GACGAACGCUGGCGGCGUGCCUAAUACAUGCAAGUCGAGCGAAGAGUCCCUGGUGCUUUCACUAGAUAAACUUAGCGACGAACGGGUGACUAACACGUAAAGAACCUUUCUCAUAGACUUAAACAACUGAAGCAAACGAUAAUAAAUACUAGAUAAUAGCAUUAAAUGCAUGGGUGUGGUUUAUAAGUUCGUUUUGCUAUCACCUUGAGACUGCUUUGCUGUGGAUUAGCUUGUUGGCUGGGUAAAGCCCUAACGAGGCGACGAUGGGAAGCCGACCUCAGAGGGUGAUCGGCCACACUGGAAGUGAGACACGGACCAUACGCCUACGGGAGGCAGCAGUAGGGAAUGUUACGCAAAGGGCGGAAACCUUACGGAACAACGCCGAGUGAGUGAAGAAGGAUUUCGGUUCGGAAAGCUGUGUUGUGAGUGAAGAACGAUUGUGUAGUAACUAUACACGGUAGAGACGGUAACUAAUAAGAAAGCCACGGCUAACUACGUG